GCACCAGCAAAAUCUGGUGUCGGGCGUGAGAACCCGGAUAAGCAAAAGGCGAUACCAGACGCCUAUAGCGUCUUUUUU
rnacentral:sRNA from 1 species